CUAGUUAGGGCCCGAGCGUAGCUGCUAAGCAGCUGCGAGAGCCCUAUUAUUCCUGAUGGAUUCUUCUUUCUUCUUUAGGGCCCGAGCGUAGCUGCUAAGCAGCUGCGAGAGCCCUCUUGUUCCUGAUGGAUUCUUCUUUUGUUAUUAUUAUUAUUUUUCCUCCGCUUUAAACUGGAAAAUGGCCGACUUCCCACUGGCGAAAACUCAUGAAAUUUGGCAGGACGACCGGGCCUGGUGAAAAAUUCGAUAUUCUGAAGUCGCCC